CCUACGGGAGGCAGCAGUGGGGAAUCUUGCACAAUGGGGGAAACCCUGAUGCAGCGACGCCGCGUGAGUGAAGAAGUAUUUCGGUAUGUAAAGCUCUAUCAGCAGGGAAGAAAAUGACGGUACCUGAUUAAGAAGCCCCGGCUAACUACGUGCCAGCAGCCGCGGUAAUACGUAGGGGGCAAGCGUUAUCCGGAUUUACGGGGGGUAAAGGGAGCGUAGACGGUGAUGCAAGUCAGAAGUGAAAGCCCGGGGCUAAACUCCGGGACUGCUUUUGAAACUGUGUGACUGGGGUGCAGGAGAGGUAGUCGGAAUUCGUGGUGUAGCGGUGAAAGGGGUAGAUAUCAGGAGGAA
rnacentral:rRNA from 1 species